GUUCUUGAAAACAUUGCUUUAAUGAAAAAUAAAACCUAAAAGCAGCUGCGGUGUUGGCUAUGAUGGGAAGCUACUGUGCUGGUCAGCAGGCUCUGACCUUGGAACUGGGUAAUCCGAGUUCUCAUCCCGCCUUUACCACUUCUAGCUGUACAACACUGGCUCAUUUAUGUAAGCUUCUGGAUGAGUUUCCUUACCUGUAAACCAAGAUCAUGACUGGACCUUCCUCACAGGUUCAGAAACUCAGCAUCCCUUCAGUGAUUCAAACAGGGAAGAGAGGAGCUCUGGAAUCUUCUUCAAACUGAGGCACAGUUUGGACUUCCUACUUCCCCAGAUGCAGAAAUAGAACAGAGAUUUCACAGAGAAGGGAUAUUGUACGGUCCCAGACACACGAAACCUGGCUGUGUUCCUCAACUACUGCCAGUAUGAGGGGAUGGCCACACUGCGAUGUCACAGGAAGUAAUCACUACAAACUCCUGGAGCACAUGUCCAUCUGAGAAGCCUUUGUGUGGAUGCCCUGAGCCCGGCACCAAAGAACUGAUAGAACUGCAGUCACAGGGACAGCUUUUUUCAUUUGAUGAGAGGGAUGGGGGUGGUGGGAAUAUAUCGGCUGCAGUGACCUUUCACGGUAGGCAGAGACGUGCUGGUGCUGAAACAAUUAUCUCAAGUGCCCGUGGGUACCAGCUUCCUGUUGAUAACAUGUGGUGCUAAUUACCUUGAAGCAUUCAGGGCAGAUGUUGGUGCUUGGAAUGAACAGGCCAGCAGAAGGGCCGCGCCUGGCUCAGGACCAGGGGUUCAAGGUGGGGCAGCGCCGCUGUCUCCCAUUCCCCUCUCUCCUCCAGACUGCCGCUGUGGUUCCUCUCCUCCUCCAGACACUGUGCUUUACUGUGCAGUCUCUUAACCUUUUCCAUGAAGUCAAAAUGUGACUGGUGGACCAGUCACCCCUCUCUGUUUAAUAGCCUUCUAGACCUGCGGGGGAGGAAUAGGAUGACCAGUUAAUCAAAAUACUCUGUGUGGAAAAGGUCAACAUGGUGGGGCUCCUACCAUAUAUUUUUCUGGGAGAGAUAUUGACGUUCUGCCUUGUCCUUCCUUUCAGUACUGCCCAUGUGGUCAGGAGAUUGCAGCAGUGCUGUGGAUCCUUGAUGACCACGAUUUUACUGAAAGAGAGUGAUGGUGGCAAGUCUGAUGAUAUUUCCCUUUACCCUAUGGGGCCACUGUUACUGGAAAGUCCCCUCCCCCACCAGGUCCAUGAAGAUGGGGACAGUACCUGUUUCGUUCAUCUCUACACCUUAGUUCCCGACGGAAGCCAAGCACACAGGGGAGCUCAGAAAUGCAGGAGAUGCGGGUCUGAUCCCUCAGUCAGGAAGACCCCCUGGAGAAGAGAAUGGCCACCUCCUCCAGUAUUCUUGCCUGGAGAAUUCCAUGGACAGAGCUGCCUGGCGGGCUGUAGUCCAUAGAGUCACAAAGAGUCGAACACAACUGAGCAACAAAGCAUGCACACAUGUCUCCUUAAUAAACUUUCAUAAAAACUGCCAAACGUGAUGUUCAGAGGGCUUCUGGGUUGGUGAAUGCACUGAGGUACCAGGAGGUGGUACGCCUGGAGAGGGCAUGGAAGCUCUGUGCCCCUUGCCCCAUCCUUGCCCUAUGUACCUCUUCCAUUUGGCUGUUCCUGGAUUGAAUCCUUUAUAAUAAACCCACUAACAGUAAGUAAACCGCUUCCCUGAGUUCUGUGAGUUGUUCUGGUG
ensembl:lncRNA